GAUGAACGCUGGCGGCGUGCCUAAUACAUGCAAGUCGAGCGAACAGACGAGGAGGUUGCUCCUCUGACGUUAGCGGCGGACGGGUGAGUAACACGUGGAUAACCUACCUAUAAGACUGGGAUAACUUCGGGAAACCGGAGCUAAUACCGGAUAAUAUAUUGAGCCGCAUGGUUCAAUAGUGAAAGACGGUUUUGCUGUCACUUAUAGAUGGAUCCGCGCCGCAGUAGCUAGGUGGUAAGGGAAGGGCUUACCAAGGCAACGAUGCGAAGCCGACCUGAGCGAGUGAUCGGCCACACGGGAACUGAGACACCGUCGAGACUCCUACGGGAGGCAACAGUAGGGAAUCUUCCGCAAUGGGCGAAAGCCUGACGGAGCAACGCCGCGUGAGUGAUGAAGGUCUUCGGAUCGUAAAGCUCUGUUAUUAGGGAAGAACAAAUGUGUAAGUAACUAUGCACGUAUUGACGGUACCUAAUCAGAAAGCCACGGCUAACUACGUG
rnacentral:rRNA from 1 species